rnacentral:rRNA from 1 species
GACGAACGCUGGCGGCGUGCCUAAUACAUGCAAGUAGAACGCUGAAGAGAGGAGCUUGCUCUUCUUGGGUGAGUCGCGCACGGGUGAGUAACGCGUAGGUAACCUGCCUUGUAGCGGGGGAUAACUAUUGGAAACGAUAGCUAAUACCGCAUAACAAUAGGUGACACAUGUCAUUUAUUUGAAAGGGGCAAUUGCUCCACUACAAGAUGGACCUGCGUUGUAUUAGCUAGUAGGUGAGGUAACGGCUCACCUAGGCGACGAUACAUAGCCGACCUGAGAGGGUGAUCGGCCACACUGGGACUGAGACACGGCCCAGACGCCUACGGGAGGCAGCAGUAGGGAAUCUUCGGCAAUGGGGGCAACCCUGACCGAGCAACGCCGCGUGAGUGAAGAAGGUUGUCGGAUCGGAAAGCUCUGUUGUAAGUCAAGAACGAGUGUGAGAGUGGAAAGUUCACACUGUGACGGUAGCUGACCAGAAAGGGACGGCUAACUACGUG